rnacentral:rRNA from 1 species
AUACGUAGGUGGCGAGCGUUAUCCGGAUUUACUGGGUGUAAAGGGCGUGUAGGCGGCUCUGCAAGUCAGAAGUGAAAUUCCCGGGCUUAACUUGGGCGCUGCUUCUGAAACUGCAGAACUUGAGUACUGGAGAGGAUAGUGGAAUUCCUAGUGUAGCGGUAAAAUGCGUAGAGAUAGGGAGGAACACCAGUGGCGAAGGCGGCCUGCUGGGCUUUAACUGACGCUGAGGCACGAAAGCGUGGGUAGCAAACAGGAUUAGAUACCCUGGUAGUCCACGCUGUAAACGAUGAUUACUAGGUGUGGGGGGACUGACCCCUUCCGUGCCGGAGUUAACACAAUAAGUAAUCCACCUGGGGAGUACGGCCGCAAGGUUGAAACUCAAAGGAAUUGACGGGG